rnacentral:SRP_RNA from 1 species
GCCAGGCAUGGUGGCGCAUGCCUGUGGUCCUUGCUACCCAGGAGGCUGAGGCAAGAGGAUUGCUUGAGCCCAGGAGGUUGAGGCUGAAGUGAGCUAUGUUUGUGUCACUGCACUCCAGCCUGGACAACAGAGCGAGAUCUUGUCUCAG